rnacentral:rRNA from 1 species
GAUGAACGCUAGCUACAGGCUUAACACAUGCAAGUCGCGGGGCAGCAUGGGGGUUGCUUGCAACCCCUGAUGGCGACCGGCGCACGGGUGAGUAACGCGUAUCCAACCUGCCCUUCACCACGGGAUAACCCGGCGAAAGUCGGACUAAUACCGUAUGUUGUCCAUUGACGGCAUCCGAUUUGGACGAAAGGCUUAGCGGUGAGGGAUGGGGAUGCGUCCGAUUAGCUUGACGGCGGGGUAACGGCCCACCGUGGCAACGAUCGGUAGGGGUUCUGAGAGGAAGGUCCCCCACACUGGAACUGAGACACGGUCCAGACUCCUACGGGAGGCAGCAGUGAGGAAUAUUGGUCAAUGGGCGGAAGCCUGAACCAGCCAAGUAGCGUGCAGGAUGACGGCCCUAUGGGUUGUAAACUGCUUUUAUGCGGGGAUAAAGUGGCCCACGUGUGGGUUUUUGCAGGUACCGC